CCAAGGCUACGACGGGUAGGGGGUGUGAGAGCAUGACCCCCCUCACUGGGACUGAGACACUGCCCAGACACCUACGGGUGGCUGCAGUUAAGAAUAUUCCUCAAUGGCCGAAAGGCUGAAGGAGCGACGCCGCGUGCAGGAUGAAGGGCUUUGGCUCGUAAACUGCUUUUAUUUGGGAAGAAUUCUGACGGUACCAAAUGAAUAAGAGGUUGCUAACUCUGUGCCAGCAGCAGCGGUAAUACAGAGACCUCAAACGUUGUCCGGAUUUAUUGGGCGUAAAGGGUCCGCAGGUGGCCAUGCACGUCGAGGGUUAAAUGUUAGGGCUCAACUCUAACACCGCUCUCGAUACGGCGUGGCUAGAGGCUGGGAGAGGCAUACGGAAUUGCCGGUGUAGUAGUAAUAUGCGUUAAUAUCGGCAAGAACACCAAAAGCGAAGGCAGUAUGCUGGAACAGUUCUGACACUCAGGGACGAAAGCGUGGGGAGCGAAAGGGAUUAGAUACCCCUGUAGUCCACGCCCUAAACGAUGGAUGCUAGAUGCUGGGAGUAUCGACCCUCCCGGUGUCGUCUAAAAUAGCUAACGCAUUAAGCAUCCCGCCUGGGGAGUACGGCCGCAAGGCUAAAACUCAAAGGAAUAGACGGGGACCCGCACAAGCGGAGGAGCAUGUGGUUUAAUUCGACGAUAAGCGAAGAACCUUACCUGGGCUCGAAAUGUAGCUGCAAGCCGAUGGAAACAUUGGCCGCUUUCGAGGGUGCUAUAUAGGUGCUGCAUGGUUGCCGUCAGCUCGUGUCGUGAGAUGUACCGUUAAGUCGGAUAACGAGCGCAACCCCUGUCCCAUGUUGAAUUUUCAUGGGAGACCGCCUCGGAUAACGGGGAGGAAGGUGGGGACGACGUCAAAUCAGCAUGGCUCUUACAUCCAGGGCUACACACGUGCUACAAUGGUAGGGAACAAUGGGCUGCCAAACCGCAAGGUGGAGCUAAUCCCAACAAAACCUACCUCAGUUCGGAUUGGGGGCUGCAAUUCGCCCCCAUGAAGUUGGAUUCGCUAGUAACGGCCGAUCAGCAAUGCGGCCGUGAAUACGUUCUCGGGUCUUGCACACACCGCCCGUCAAG
rnacentral:rRNA from 1 species